GACAACGUGGCCGAGUGGUCUAAGGCGUGUGACUCGAAAUCACUUCUCCUAUGGAGGCGUAGGUUCAAAUCCUGCCGUUGUCG
rnacentral:tRNA from 1 species